rnacentral:lncRNA from 1 species
UGCUUUGUUAGGGCCUUGCAUCUAGUCGAGCAUGCUAAAUGUUAUGUGCUAUGUGUUUAUGAGUGUUUGACAUGUCUACUCGCUUUCCAUAGCUAUGAAUGAAUGUGAUGGAUGAAUGUACGUUUCCGCUAGUCCAACGCUAGUCGGAAUUCAUAGAAUGGGCUAGUCCAACGCUAGACCCUUAGGGAUUUCCCCUCGUUAGUACAUGUUUGCAUGUUCAUCACAUGUCAUGCAUUCUUUUUAGUUUUAUCAUUUUGCAUGCCCCUCGAACCCCUUU